AGGGGACCUUCGGGCCUUUCGCUAACAGAUGAGCCUGCGUUGGAUUAGCUAGUUGGUGGGGUAAGGGCCCACCAAGGCGACGAUCCAUAGCUGGUCUGAGAGGACGAUCAGCCACACUGGGACUGGGACACGGCCCAGACUCCUACGGGAGGCAGCAGUGGGGAAUAUUGGACAAUGGGCGCAAGCCUGAUCCAGCAAUACCGCGUGUGUGAAGAAGGCCCUAGGGUUGUAAAGCACUUUCAAUUGGGAGGAAAACCCACCGGCCAAUACCCGGUGGCUUGACAUUACCUUUAGAAGAAGCACCGGCUAACUCCGUGCCAGCAGCCGCGGUAAUACGGAGGGUGCGAGCGUUAAUCGGAAUUACUGGGCGUAAAGCGUGCGUAGGCGGCCCGUUAAGUCAGAUGUGAAAGCCCCGGGCUCAACCUGGGAACUGCAUUUGAAACUGGCGGGCUAGAGUUUGGUAGAGGGGAGCGGAAUUUCAGGUGUAGCGGUGAAAUGCGUAGAUAUCUGAAGGAACACCAGUGGCGAA
rnacentral:rRNA from 1 species